ACAGUGGUGGUUCUGUGGUAGAAUUCUCACCUUCCAUGAGGGAGACCCAGGUUCGAUUCCUGGCCAAUGCA
rfam:Loxodonta africana unplaced genomic scaffold scaffold_29, whole genome shotgun sequence.